rnacentral:rRNA from 1 species
UACGUAGGGUCCAAGCGUUAAUCGGAAUUACUGGGCGUAAAGCGUGCGCAGGCGGUUUUAUAAGCCAGAUGGGAAAUCCCCGGGCUUAACCUGGGAAUGGCAUUUGGGACUGUAAGGCUAGAGUACGGCAGAGGAGACUAGAAUUCCUGGUGUAGCAGUGAAAUGCGUAGAUAUCAGGAGGAAUACCGAUGGCGAAGGCAGGUCUCUGGGUCGAUACUGACGCUCAUGCACGAAAGCGUGGGGAGCAAACAGG